AAUGUCGCACACUAGAGCACGCAGAAAAGGGUACCUUCAUCAAAAAGUAUUCAAACCAGCUUUGGUGACAGCAUACUUAAUAUUUCACAGAAUCAAGGGAUGAAUAAACGGAUGAAUAAGUUAUGAACAUAUCAAUGUUUAUUACCUUUCUAUGAUGCAUUAUCAAAUUACUCGUAGGAGACCCGGCUUUACACGUGCCCAAACUCGCCCGGAGUCUAAAUUCGCCCUUUGUCCAAGUGCGCCCGUAGCCCAAAUUUGCCAGUGGCCCAUAUUCACCCAAUGCUCAAAUUCGCGCGGAACCAAAAUUCGAACAUCCAUACAUCCAUACCUACAUACAUACACAACUGGAUUUUAUUGAUAUAGAUAUCACCGCAAAGUUCUCAUGACCCGGAUUCGGGACAAACCGAAGGGUACGUUCAGGCUGCAUCAAACCCACCUAAAUGAGCCUUGGUCAACUUGGUGGCAAAAUGUUAUUUAUUUCACAGAAUCAACUACCAGACUUCACACUUUCAGGACCCGGAAAAACCCACGUGGUUCGACAGGCGACCUAUCCCUUGACACGUUCCAGCGGGGAAUCGAUACCCCGCCAGUUGAUUCAAUGACAGUCCUUAUGAACAAAUGCGAACGCGUUAACCAUUCGGCCACUAAAACCCAUUCUGUUCUUCACCAACUGAGCUAAUGAAAGCGAAUAUACGUCAUGCAGUGUGCUACGAGGGCCUACUCUUAUUUCGAAUUCUAACGGUAAAGGGUUCUUGUACCUGGACACCAAUGAGCGUGAAAGAGAGAAAGAGAGGCACAAACCAGGUCAUUCCGGGACUAACAAUUUUAUUUCAAUAAUUUGCUUGCGUUUAGGGGUCUUUAACAGUGGGGGAAACCCAGAGAAAACCCACACGUUUGGACAGAUGAUCCUAAUCAUUGUCACGUUCAAGCUUCGAAUCGAAACCGAGCCACUUGACAGACGCCAAUGUGUAAACGGGACCCCGUUUUUUUUUUUUUUGUCCCAUCUGAACAUAGAACUAGAAUACUAACGGGAACGCCCACUCGGUGACGUAUAACGGUGAUGACACAAUUAUGCUGUACAUCGCAUGCGCGAAGUCAAUAAGGCACAAGUAACUUCCGGCCGUAUGUCAACAUGGCAGAAGCGUACGACGCCCUGGAAUUUCAAGAACUUGACGGUGUAAUAGAUCUUUUCUUUGCUAAAGAUUUGUUUGAGACAUCUCAACCUGUCGUUCCAGUAGCAUCCGCGGAACAUCCGAACAAAACACAAUUCGCGCCAGGCAUUUUGUUAGUGCGAGCAGAAACCGGAAGUACGCUGUGCCCGAUAUCAGCGUCAGAAGCCCGCCGUCACAUAAGGUAGUGACGUCACACGGUGGGCGUUCCCGUUAGUAUUCUAGUUCUAUGAUCUGAACGACUACACGUUAUCCGUUGCCAGGCCCUCCGUCCUCCAUCCUACACUACUGACAAGGGAGGACAUCUCCAGAAAAAUCCCGAUGCACUUUGAUGAAGUUAGAGAGCAAAUGUCCUAUACUCAC